GGAAGCUGGCAGCCUGGGCUCUUGGAGAUUGUAUCUGGUGCUGGAGAGGACUGGCUCCCACACUCAGUGAGGAAGGAAUUUUACUGACCCAGCACCCAGAUGAACUUUGGUGAGAAGAGGAGGUGAGGAAGUCAAGGAGCCUUGCUUUUUCACUUGCAAUUAUGGCACUUCCUUUGGAAAUGGACAUAAGAGCCUGGUGGUUGAUGAAAGAGAUGAAACUGUGAAGAGACUGGAGAAGCUAAUCCAUCAAUAGUUAAGAUUCCAUUUCUAAAAGAUCUUACUUUGAGUCUACCUAUGCCUGGGAUGUCAAGAGACGGAGUUUCGCUGUUGUUGCCCAGGCUGGAGUGCAAUGGCGUGAUUUCGGCUCAUGGCUACCUCUGCCUCCCAGGUUCAAGCAAUUCUCCUGCCUCAGCCUCCCAAGUAGCUGGGAUUACCGAUCAUCUCUCUACUGACCUUUCAGUGGCUUAGCAUUUUGUUGCAAUGCACAAGUGAAGUUGGGAAACAGAGCCAAGUGACAAGCUGUGAAGUAACAGCUCAGCCUUCACAAAGCAAAUGUGCUUUGUGCACUUUCUUGCCAGAGCAGAUGUGGCCUCGGUGGACUGUGGGGAGCAUCAUCUCUCAGGUAAAAAUAAAUUGCUAACAUUAGGACCAAAUGAUGCAAAUCCUUUCAUUUGCAAACAGAUCAUGAACUGGCAGCCAUGUGGAAAGAAGACUAGACUGCGAAUCACUUAGGAUCCUGCCCUCGGUUUAGUCCAGAAUACUCUGCCAAUCAGCUUUUUGGCCGCAGAACAGAGAUUUCUAACAUUUCCUGGGAUUUCACAAAAAAGGAAAAGAAAGAAAAAAGAAUUCAACCAAAUACUCAUUUGUUAGCCCAGCAUUGGAAAUCACCAGUCUUAAAGAACGAUUGGAGAAUCAACCAGUACCAAUACUGCUAUCCUUCAUCUCCUUGAUAUUCAGCCUUAUCCAGUAGAAUUUCUUGGAGCCCACAAAAUGUUAAUUGAAAAGAUAAGUCUGCUUUGGAAAACAUCUAUAUUUUACACAGAGAUGGAAUUUGGGUUUGCGAUUUGCCUAGGGGCACAUUUUGUCUCUGCUCCAUAUGACAUCAGAUGAAGUGAUCAGAAGGCUAAAAGAUUGCCCAAGUACCUCUCACUGAAACUCGUGGAAUAAAUAAACAACUACAAACAAUUCAUUAUGGUUAGAGGCAAUGAAUGAGGCACACUUGACAGAAGAGGAAAUUGUUGCAUGGAGCUACAAAAAAUAAAUAAGAUUUCCACCAGUAGAGGAGUAGAGAAAAGAUAUUUCCAGAUCACACCUGCCCAACUUUCAACUGCCGGUGCCUACAUUUAUUUAUCUGAAAGUUUCCUCGGAAUGUUGAGGCCCAUUCAGCUCAUGCAAGAGGAAGAGAGGCUGGGAAUGUGGGGGAAUGAAGCCUGCCUCCCAGAUGCUUUCAACAGUGUCAGAUAACAGGUGGUGGAUAAGUACACCAACUCCCUGGCCCUUGGAUGGGACCGCUCCAAGAUGGUGGAAGAUACAACAAUCUGAAUGGUAGCUUCCAGAAUCCAGUGUUGGUGACAUGUGGUGCAACCGAAGACAUGGAGCAUGGCAGUAAUGGUGGCUUUGCUGGAACAGUUCUACUUUGAGAUUUUUGAGCACUGCUCCUUCCCUUGUGGUCUCCCAGCCUGGUUCUUUGAUCCUCUUAGAGAUUCUUUGAGCUCUCCAAUAUCUUUAUAUUUCUUUCCUGCCAAAAUGCCAAAGUUUGUUUCUAUAGCUUAUAACUAAGAACACUAUCUGUUUGUGCCCAUCAGGAUCCAGCCAGGAAAAUAGCCUCCUAGGUCUUUCAAACAGCUUAGAUUUAAUACAGAUACUUGGUUAAAAGGGUGGUGGAGAAGCUGGAAAGCCCUACAAGGAGUAGGGAGUAGCCUAGUGAUUAGUACCAGCUAGAAGCUGCUAUCACCCUUAGGGUUGAGGGACACUGAAGAAAGAGCUUGUUGUUUAACAGGAGGUAGAACCACAGUAGGAGGUGAAAUAGGCCUGUAAGUCAAAAGGCAGUUGACAUGUACAUGUAAUAGAAGCUCAAAUACUUUUUGGCUAAAUGAAUAAAGAGAAUAAUCAGGGAGAAGUCUGGGACCAGAACUGUAUGUUGUAUCAAUUCUAAAAGGUUAGGGGAAUAAGAAAAUUCCAUCUAAAAAGAAGCAAUCAGAGGAAGAAAAUAGGCAAAGGUAGUGUGUCCUGGAAAUCACGGCUCUGAAAUAAUCAAAUCUGCCAGACUCUUAACUGAAUUUCUACCAAAUAGACCUCUGAAUUCUUCACUGAGUCCAGAUAGAAGACUCGGAGUACUUAUCCAUAAGCUCUGGGCAUCAUAGCUUCUAAUCCAGGCUAUUCCCUGGGUAACUUGUGUUAUUAAGUGAGGAUAACAGUGCUUGCCAAUUUUACUUGGGCGAGAUGAGAAGCAAUGAAUAAGGAAGAUUUUAGAAUACUUGGCAAAAGAGAGAAAUGUGUCACAGCAGGAAUCUUAAUUGAUAAGCUAGAGAUAAGGACAUUUAUUCUCACAGCUUUAUUUUAUGGACUAUCCUAUAUGGCUUACAUGAAUAAAAGGAAUGUAUUACCUGUUAGUGACAGCACUGCCUUACUGCAUAAGAGAAAGCAAAGGUCUGUGUUUGACGUUUAUGAGAAGAAACAUGGCCAAAAGGAAAGAGCAUAGUUCUUUUUCUUUCUUUCUUCACUUAUUUAUACCUGUUUUAGUAAUAAUGAUUAAUUUUUAGUAUGUAUGUAUAUGUAUGCUAAAAUCAUACACAUUCAUGAUGUAUAACAUGAUGUUUUGAAAUAUGUGUAAAUUGCGGAAUGGGUAAAUUAAGCUAAUUAACAUAUGCAUUGUCUCACAUACUUUUUUGUAUGUGGUGAUAACAUUUAGCAUCUACUCUCAGCCAUUUUCAAGUAUACAAUAAAUUGUUAUUAACAAU